rnacentral:rRNA from 1 species
GAUGAACGCUGGCGGCGUGCCUAAUACAUGCAAGUCGAGCGGCAGCACGGUCUUCGGACUGGUGGCGAGCGGCGGACGGCUGAGUAACGCGUAGGAACAUGCCCUAAAGUGAGGAAUAACUGCCCGAAAGGGUGGCUAAUGCCGCAUGUGCUCUUCGGAGUAAAGCUUUAUGCGCUUUAGGAGUGGCCUGCGUCCGAUUAGCUAGUUGGUGAGGUAAAUGCUCACCAAGGCGACGAUCGGUAGCUGGUCUGAGAGGAUGAUCAGCCAGACUGGAACUGAGAACGGUCCAGACUCCUACGGGAGGCAGCAGUGGGGAAUCUUGCGCAAUGGGGGCAACCCUGACGCAGCCAUACCGCGUGUGCGAUGAAGGUCUUCGGAUUGUAAAGCACUUUCAGCAGGGACGACGAUGACGGUACCUGCAGAAGAAGUCACGGCUAACUUCGUGCCAGCAGCCGCGGUAA